rnacentral:rRNA from 1 species
CCUACGGGUGGCUGCAGUGGGGAAUAUUGGACAAUGGGGGGAACCCUGAUCCAGCCAUGCCGCGUGUGUGAAGAAGGCCCUCGGGUUGUAAAGCACUUUCAGUGAGGAAGAACGCCUGGUGGUUAAUACCCAUCAGGAAAGACAUCACUCACAGAAGAAGCACCGGCUAACUCCGUGCCAGCAGCCGCGGUAAUACGGAGGGUGCGAGCGUUAAUCGGAAUUACUGGGCGUAAAGCGCGCGUAGGUGGCUUGAUAAGCCGGUUGUGAAAGCCCCGGGCUCAACCUGGGAACGGCAUCCGGAACUGUCAAGCUAGAGUGCAGGAGAGGAAGGUAGAAUUCCCGGUAUAGCGGUGAAAUGCGUAGAGAUCGGGAGGAAUACCAGUGGCGAAGGCGGCCUUCUGGACUGACACUGACACUGAGGUGCGAAAGCGUGGGUAGCAAACAGGAUUAGAUACCCCUGUAGUC